rnacentral:rRNA from 1 species
GUGGGGAAUAUUGGACAAUGGGCGAAAGCCUGAUCCAGCCAUGCCGCGUGUGUGAAGAAGGUCUUCGGAUUGUAAAGCACUUUAAGUUGGGAGGAAGGGCAGUAAGUUAAUACCUUGCUGUUUUGACGUUACGAACAGAAUAAGCACCGGCUAACUUCGUGCCAGCAGCCGCGGUAAUACGCUGGGUGCAAGCGUUAAUCGGAAUUACUGGGCGUAAAGCGCGCGUAGGUGGUUCAGCAAGUUGGAGGUGAAAUCCCCGGGCUCAACCUGGGAACUGCCUCCAAAACUCAUGAGCUAGAGUACGGUAGAGGGUAGUGGAAUUUCCUGUGUAGCGGUGAAAUGCGUAGAUAUAGGAAGGAACACCAGUGGCGAAGGCGACUACCUGGACUGAUACUGACACUGAGGUGCGAAAGCGUGGGGAGCAAACAGGAUUAGAUACCCGUGUAGUCC